rnacentral:rRNA from 1 species
UCGGGAAUUUUGGGCAAUGGGCGAAAGCCUGACCCAGCAACGCCGCGUGAGGGAUGAAGUAUUUCGGUAUGUAAACCUCGAAAGAAUGGGAAGAAUAAAUGACGGUACCAUUUAUAAGCUCCGGCUAACUACGUGCCAGCAGCCGCGGUAAUACGUAGGGAGCAAGCGUUGUUCGGAUUUACUGGGCGUAAAGGGCGCGUAGGCGGCGCGGUAAGUCACUUGUGAAAUCUCUGAGCUUAACUCAGAACGGCCAAGUGAUACUGCUGUGCGAGAGUGCGGAAGAGGCAACCGGAAUUCUUGGUGUAGCGGUGAAAGGCGUAGAUAUCAAGAGGAACACCUGAGGCGAAGGCGGGUUGCUGGGCCGACACUGACGCUGAUGCGCGAAAGCCAGGGGAGCAAACG